AUAAACACAUACAACAAAAAGUCAAAAAGGGGAGGAGGAAAGAGGGGGGACAACAGGGAAAAUGGGAGUAAAAAGAGGACAAAGAAAAAAAAAACAUAGCCCGUGCCUCCCUCUUCACUCAUCUUCCUCAGCCUCUAAGCUCACCUAAAACGAGCUUUGCAAACCCCUAAAACCUAGUUGAAAAAUCCACCCCAAAACAGCCCCAAAUAUCCAUUAAAACUACUCUAAACCCACCUUGAAACAAUCACCAAACAGCCCCCCUAAACUCCAGCAAAAUCCAACAGCUUUUUAGCUGCAAAAAACACCAAAAAUCAGCCUCCAAAACAGAUCCAGAACAGCUCAAAAAUGAGCUGGAAAUCCACCCCCAAACCAGCCCUCUUCUCAGUCCAAAAAACGACUCCAAAACAUCCCCGAACAACCUCCUAAAAUUCAGCAAAAGUCCAGCUGCGAACAGCCUCAAAAUCCAGCUCUAAUACAAUCCGAAACUACCCAAAACAGCCCCAAAAUCACUAAAACAAAUGCAGCUGAAAUCACUCUCAAAACACAGCAAAAUCAGUACCUAAAACAGGAUAAAAACAGUCCCAAAACUACCUCAUAAACUUCAGCUAAAAUCAGUCCUGAAAUCCAACUGAAAGAGCCCAAAACAUCACCAAGAGCAAUCUUAAAACAAUCCCAAAACCACCACGAAAGCUGUCGUCCUUCAGCCAAAACCAGCAGCUCCUUCCUACUCUGUUAAUCACUACAAACGAGCUGAGUUCGAGGCGGUUUGGUCGAGGUUCUUUGAGGUUCCGGCAAGGCAUUUGGUUUCCUGUUCGAGGUUCUCAUUUGCUUGACGAUUCGAGAAUAUUUGCAACUGUAGAGGUUCGAUCUUUUUAUCUUGUUUGCUUUGUCUGUUUAUUGUUCCAUUUAGAUGAUAUUUGUUAAUAUGCCUUUUACUUGGAUUUGCUAUUCUCUUUUUGAGCACAUAAUGUUUCUUAGUUGUUAAUGUUUAUCGUUAAGUUUAUUGGUCUUUGUUGUUGAGUAAGAAUCUAAAAGGAAAAUUUUAGAAAAAAUUAAACUUGAAAAAAUGAGGAUAAGUGAUGGUAACAGUAAUGCAUUUGGUCCUAAGGUUUGGUAUUGUAAAAUUUGUUUUCUUUAUCAAAAUAUUUUAAUCAAAUUUAUUUUUUUCCUAGCGCUAGUUUUAUCAUUUGGUAGAAUUAAUUUCUAACGUUAUCUUAACUGUUUUAUAAAAAUUUUAUCAAUCCUUCAAUAAUCCUCUCUUGAUUUGUAAUCAGUACUAAAUAAAAUACUUUCAUAACUCUUGAGCCUCACAAUAAUCUUGACUUAGGAAAUAAAUAACUCACAAAUCGCUAGUAUGCUUUAGGCGCGCUGUAAUAAAUCAAUUAUUGUAAUUGUGUACACAUUCGCGUGACAUGAUUACGAUUUCUAAAAUAAAUCAAAGUACUUGUUCACGCGACUUUGACCAAACAAUCUUGAUAAUAAUAAAGUGUUACUAAUUGUGUACACGUACGCGUGACAUGAUUUUUGACACCAAACAAAAUGAGUACAUGUACGCGUGACUUAUUUCAAGAUAAUUUUUAUAAAUCCAAUAAAGCAAUAAAAGCGGACAUAGUUAAAACAUGAGAACCAAUAAAAUAUAGGUUAUUCAAAAUUAAUUCAAGCCAAGUUGUAGUCAAUAAAGCGACCGUGCUAGAACCACGAGACUCUGGGAAUGCCUUACACUUUUUUUCCGGUCAACGGAAUUCCUUACCCGGACUUUAUUUUCGCAGACCAAUAAUAAUGGAGAUAAACCUUCCUUUGACUAGGGAUUCAAAUAAAAGGUGACUUGGAACACCCAAAAAUUAAUUCCAAGUGGCGACUCUGUAAAUAAAAUAAUCCCUACUCAAGUUUGUCACUUUAAUUGGAAAAACUCUUUAACCCACAAUCCAUAACAUAUAUAUCUUUUGGGGUAGAAACUCAAGCCACCUGCGCUGCCUCAAACUGAAAUCCCUCUGCUUGAACAAAUGCUGCAGGUUUCGAUAAUCGAUAUAAACCUCACAGGACACCCCAUAAAGAUAAUGCCUCCAAAUCUUAAGAGCAUGAACAAUCGCGGCCAACUCCAAGUCAUGUACAUGGUAAUUCUUCUGGUGGGGCUUCAGCUGACGUGAAGCAUAUGAAAUAACUUGCCCCUCCUGCAUCAGUAAACAACCCAAACCAAUGCGUGAAGCAUCGCAAUACACAGUAUACAUCCCUGAACCAAAAGACAAUACUAACACUGGUGCUGGAGUCAAUACGGUCUUGAGCUUCUGAAAGCUUGCCUCGCAAUCAUCGGACCAUCGGAACAGAGCACCUUUCUGGGUCAAUCUAGUCAAAGGUGCUGCAAUAGAUAAGAAGCCCUCCACAAACCGACGAUAAUAACCUGCUAACCCCAGGAAGUUCCUAAUCUUAGUCGUUGUGGUAGGACGAGGCCAACUCUAAACUGCCUCGAUCUUCUUGGGAUCAACCUUAAUACCCUCGCCUGAUACAACAUGUCCCAAGAAUGCCAUAGAAUCUAGCCAGAACUCACACUUGGAGAACUUAGCAUAUAGCUUCUGCUCCCGCAAGGUCUGAAGUACCACUCUCAAAUGUUGCUCGUGCUCCUCCAUGUUACGCGAGUAGAUCAAAAUGUCAUCAAUGAAGAUAAUGACAAACAAAUUAAUAUAUGGCCUGAACACCCUGUUCAUCAAAUUCAUAAACGUCUUUGGGGCGUUAGUUAAGCCAAAGGACAUCACUAGAAACUCAUAAUGGCUAUAUCUAGUCCGGAAAGUCGUCUUCGGGACAUCGGAAUCCCGAAUCUUCAGCUGAUGGUACCACGAUCUCAAGUCAAUCUUAGAAAACACCUUAGCACCCUACAACUGGUCAAACAAAUCAUCAAUACACGGCAAUGGGUACUUAUUCUUAAUGGUAACUUUGUUCAAUUGGCGGUAAUCAAUGCACAUCUACAUAAUCCCAUGUUUAUUCUUCACAUAUAUCACUGGUGCACCCCAAGGCGAAACACUCGGUGUGGCGAACCCUUUUGCUAGAAACUCCUCAAGAUGCUCCUUCAACUCCUUCAAAUUUUUCGGAGCCAUGCGGUAUGGUGGAAUAGAUAUAGGCUGGGUACAUGGAGCCAAAUCAAUACAGAAAUCGAUAUCACGAUCUGAUGGCAUGCUUGGGAGAUCAGAAGGAAACACAUCGGAGAACUCCCGGACCACGAGCACUUAAUCAACUGUUGGAGUCUCUGCAGUAGUAUCCCAAACAUAAGCUAGAUAAGCCAAACACCCCUUCUCGACCAUGUGUUGAGCCUUCAAAAAGGAGAUAACUCGACUAGAUGUACUGACAGACGAACCCUUCCACUCCAAUCUAGGCAACUCUGGCAUUGUCAAGGUAACAGUUUUGGCAUGGCAAUCAAGGAUGGCAUGAUAUGGAGACAGCCAAUCCAUGCCCAGGAGGACCUCAAAGUCGGUCAUAUCAAGCAACAAAAGAUCUGCUCUAGUCUCAUAACCAUAGAAUGUAACAAUGUAGGACCGAUAGAUAUGAUCCACAAUAAUAGAAUCGCCCACUGGAGUGGACACAUAAAUAGGAGUACCCAAGGACUCACGAGGAACACCCAAGUAAUGAGCAAACAGAGAUGAAACAUGUUAAUAACUGGAUCAAAUAGUACUGAAGAAUCCCUACCGCAGAUAGAAAUAGUACCUGUAACCACGGCAUUUGAGACCACUGCAUCUGGUCGGGCUGGAAAGGCAUAAAAUCUGGCAGAAGCGCCUCCUGGCUAGCCUCCACCUCUAGGACGGCCCCUACCCACCUGCCCUCUGCCUCUGGGCGGUCGGACGGCUGGUGGGGCAACUGGUGUUGGAAUCAUAGGCUGCUAACCCUGCUGCACUGCCUUGUCCCAAAGCCUGGGGCAGAACCUCCGUAUGUGACUAAGGUCCCCACACUCGAAACAACCUCUCGGUACGGUGGAUUGCUGACCUGAAGUCUGACCCUGAUGGCCUAAAUACCCACUAGAGGGUGGUCCCUGAAUAGCUGGUGGGCAGUAAGAAGUCUCUAGCAUGGCACUGAAAUAAGGUCGCACUAGAGCACCCCGAGGAGGCGGCGGUGCUGGAUAUGUGGUCCUGCUAGACUAACCCCUCACGAACUGACCCCUGCCCCCAGCCGGGCACCACUGAACUCUCCAGAAUAUCGGAACCGCUUAUCCCUCGUAGCCUUCUCACAACCACGCUGACUUGACCCUCGAUCCUCUAAGCUAUCUCUACAACUAGUUCGCAAGAAGUCCCCAUUUCCACCUCUCGGGCCAUAGUGGCAUGGCUACCACUGUGCAAACCGGAAACAAACCUCCGCACUCUCUCUGCAUCGGUCAGAAGUAUCAUAAGUGCAUGGCGAGACAACUCAUAGAAUCUCGCCUCAUAGUCAGUCAUUGACAGCUAGCCCUGCGAAAGCUGCUCGAACUGAAAUCGCAACUCUUCCCCUAUGAGAGAGCGGAAUAUACCUAUCUAAGAAGAGGCAUGUGAACUAGUCCCAAGUCAUGGGAGGAUAACCUGCUGGUCUGCCGCGAAGAUAUGACUGCCACCACCUACGGGCCCUGCUCUCCAGCAGGAAAGUAGUAAAAUCCACUCCAUGGGACUCCAAUAUCCUUAUGUUGUGCAGCCUGUCCCUGCACCGGUCAAUAAAGUCCUGGGGGUCCUCGUGUCGCUCACCUCCAAAGACAGGAGGCUGUAGCAUUUCAUCUGUCCAAUAGCCUAUGCGGAUCGCCUGUCGCAGCUGGUAUGGGCCCAGGUAUAGCUGCUGCAACUGGCUGAGCUCUGCCCACGGUUAAUGCGCCCGGGGUCAGAUAUACGGCAGUUGCGUGCCCUUGAGCCUGAUAGGUAGGGGUUUGUGCCCCCUCCCGCCUGAGGUGUGGCAGGGUCUGCUGGAAAUAAACCAUCCUGAGUCAUAGAAUCCAAGAACCGUAGCAUACGGCCUAUGACCUCCUAGAAUCCCGGUGCGGACAUGAAAUCCAUUGGGGCUGGUCCUGCUACAGGCACCUCACCAUGCUCCUCAAUAAUGAGAUCCUCUACUGGAUCCACUGGUGGUAUAACUGGAGCAACUCUAGGAUGCCCUCGUCCUCUACCACGAACUGAAGCCCUCCAUCGGCCACCGCCUCGGCCUCUAGCAGUAGGGGGAGCAUCUCCUCCAUGGUCUAGAACAUCCGCUGCGUGCGUUCUCACCAUCUGUGAGAUAAUGAGAGAAAAAUACUUAGUACUACAUCAACUGCACGAUAGGAGAUGAAGAAAGAGUAUUUUUCUAAUACCCUAUAGCCUCUAGAAGAUAAGUACGGACGUCUCCGCACCGAUCCGCAAGACUCUAUUAGGCCUUCUCAUAACUUGUGAGACCUACGUGAACCUAGUGCUCUGAUACCAUGUUGUCACGACCCGCUUUCCUUUAUAGGCCGUGAUGGCACCCAACGUCGCCUCUAGGCAAGCCAACUAUGAACUAAACCAUGUUAUUUCUCUUUAAUAAGUUUUUCAAGUAAUUAAAUUCUAUUUAAUAAUAAAUUAAGGAGUAGGAAAUUUAAUAACUUAAAUGAAGAGAACUGAAUGGCAAUCAUAAUGAUGUAAGUACUCCCAAAAAAUCAUAAAGUCUACUAGUAUGUAUGCCAAGACCUGGUGUCACAAGUAUAUGAGCAACUAGUAGAAUACAAAAAUCUAACUACUGUCUGAAAUAAAGUAGACAGAAUAUAAAUAUAAAAGAGAGACUCUAGGGACUGCAGAAUAGCUCGGAAAACAACUCACCACUAGGCCUCGAGAUAUCUGGGACGCGCGUCGGUAGGACCGCUAGAUGCACCUGCCUCAGAUCCUGCACGGUUAGUGCAGAAGUGUAGUGUGAGUACAUAAACAACAUGUACCCAGUAAGUAACAAGUGUAACCUUGAAGAAGUAGUGACGAGGGUCGAUAUUGAUACUUACUAUGGGCUAAUUAGUAAAGAAAUAUGGGAAACUAAAUGAGCACGGGUUAUGUAUAUAAUAACAAUAACUCAAUAAUAAGCAAAAAAUAAAUAAAUAAACCUUUCACACAUGGUAAGUUCUAAAUAAAUUUCCAUCUUAUAAUAUUUUGCAUCUCAAGCCAGGGAAGUAUAUCAAAUAUAUAAUUACAUAUCGAGUGUUAUCACGCACGAUUAUGCCGAGGUCGUACGUCCCGAUCCGGAAUAAUGUGUACACUACCGAGGGUCGAGCGGCACGAAUCAUAGAUGCAUCUAUCUACUGCCGAGGCGUUCGACCCGCUCCACAAGAAUAGAGGAUACUUUAUAAGCAUUUGACUUAAACGUUAUUAAAGGCUAAUACAUAAUGUAUACAAAUUCUAUUAACGGUCUUUCACAAUUCCUCUAACAAGUUUCAAUAUAAUUUAGGUACUUUAAUUAACAAAUAGGGUGCAAACAUCUUAAAUAAUUCAUGAUUUGGGUCCUAAGACUACCCGGACAUAAGCAUAAUUAGUAGCUAUGCACGGACUCUCGUCACCUCGUACGUACGUAGCCCCCACAAUUAGAAGCAAACAUUAAUUUAAAUUACCUAUGGGGUAAAUUUCCUCUUACAAGGUUAGACAAGAGACUUACCUCGUCUCAAGGCUCACUUUCCGGUCACAAUUUCGCUCUAAAGCCUCAACUUGAUGCUGUACAAUCCAAAACUAGUCAAAUGUUAUAUAUAUUAAUCAAUACAUGUCCAAAAGUUCAUAUUCUAAUUAUUAUAGUGUUACCCAACCCCAAUUGUAGAAUUCCUAAAAUUCAUCCCCGGGCCCACGUGCCCGGAUUCCGAAAAUAUUUGAAGUAAGUUGUUACCCAUAACCUCACGAACUCAAAUAUAUAAUUUUUACUCUAUUCUCUAACCAUUUUCGUGGUUAAAUCCCAUUUUUUAUCAAAACCUAUAUUUUUCAUCUAAACCCAUAAUUCUCACAAUUUUACAUGUUAAAAUAUACCCAUAAUCUAUGUAUUUAACUCAUAUUGUAUAGGGAUUACUUACCUCAAAGUUCUAGGUGAAAACCCCUCUCCAAGAGCUCCAAAAUCGCCCAAGACAUGAAAGAAAAUGAGCCAAAAUAGCCUAAGUCCCGCAUUAAAUAAACCAUUCUGCCUCCAGCGAUUUUCGCACCUGCGACUCCUCGUUCACAUCUGCGGCUCCACAUCUGCGGCUCUGCUUCUCCGGAAAGUGCCUCGCAGAUGCGGUCCUCCCCUCAGCUGGCUUCCUCGCUUCUGCGACCAGCUGCUCGCUUCUGCGGUGAGCUCGUCGCACCUACGUCCCCCCCCCCCCCCCCCCCCCCCCCGCUUCUGCGAUCGUCUGCUUCACACCUGUGCUUCCGUAGGUGCGGUCCUCCUCCCCGCUUCUGCGGUCCCUAGACAGCCUUUCCUGGGCCGCUUCUACGGUUACUGACUCACUUCUGCGAGCUCGCACCUACGGCUGGCCUUCCGCAGGUACGAUUACACUAGAAGCUGGAUGCUUCAGCCAUUUCCUCUAAGUCCAAACUUGGUCCGCGCCUCGUCCGAUUAACACCCGGGGCCCCGCCCAAACAUACCAACAAGUUUGAAAUCAUAAAACGGACUCGCUCGCUCCCACGUAAUGCAUAAAAUAAUAUCAAAACUAAGAAUUACACUCCAAACCAAAUUGAAUCAACUUAUGAACUUCAAGUUCUUUCAAAUUACUCUGAAUGCGCCAAAACAUACUUAAACUACUUAGAAUGACACCAAAUUUUGCGUGCAAGUCUUUAAUCAUCAUACGGAACUAUUUUCCGGCUCGGAAUCCCAAACGGACCUCGCUAGCACCAAAAUCUACUCCAAACCAAAUUUAAAGAACUUUAAAACCUUCAAGGUGCCAACUAUCAAUACUAAGCGCCGAAACGCUCCUGUUCAUCCAAAACUCGAUCCGAACAUACGCUCAAGUCUAAAAUCAGCAUACGAACCUAUUGGAACUAUCAAAUCCCGGUUUCGAGGUCGUUUACUCAAAAUAUUGACCAAAGUCAAACUUAGUCUUUUAAAGCCAAAUUAAGGAAUCAAAUGUUCUGAUUUCAACCCGAACCCUUCCAAACCUCGAACUAACCAUCCCCGCAAGUCAUAUAAUAGUAAAAGCACAUACAGGGAGUCUUAUUUAGAGAAACGGGAAUCUAGAAGGUAAAACGACCGGUCGGAUCGUUAUAUUUGAUAUCUGCUUCGUAAAAAGAUCUUAUCAAAAACAGUACAUGAAGUUUAUUAAGUUGAGUAACGUUAGAGUAGACAGGAUCGUAGAUGCAUCCUUGUGAUACAGAAGAACCACACAAAAAUGAGAGACAUAUUAAAAAAUCACUUCUACAUCUCGAAAGAGAUAAUUGUCUAGCACAAAAAGGAGCGCAAAAGCAAAUAAACCAGCCAAUUGCAGAUUUGAGCAAAAACACCGAUAAAUAAAGUAUUCUACUGUAAAUCAGAACCUAAUUAGGCAAAUAAAAACUUCUCGAUAUCAAAUAUUUGUAAUAGUCAAUAUAGAGCAAUAAGCAAAAUUAAAAGAUUAUAUUUUACUAGUUCUGUUUCAAAAGGAAGAGCAAAAUGCUGCAAGGGCUUUACCUCGUGCGAAAUCUAUUGCUAUACUUUUUGGUAUGUUGUUCAAAGAAAAGAAUCUACUGCAAAAUUAUUUAUAUUAUCGUAUAAGAUCAAAGAAACAUAACUUAAAUAUGUUGACAGCCCGCAUACAUCUACGUCGGAAGAUGAAACAAAAACAAAACUGAAAAACGCUUCAGCAUGAUAUUAUAUUUUUAGAAAAGGUACCGUUUGAUAGGAUCCCAAUUAAAUAUCAAAUUUUAUUUUUCAAUUCAGUUCACAGCAGAUGAAAGAGCUUCGGUUGUGCUAAAAACUGUUUUUCAAUUCACAUGUUCAAUAUUUAUACCUCUUACUAUUUAAUAGGAUCAAAUUAAAUGGCCAAUUUCAUUUUCCAACUUAUCCAUUCACAAUUUCAUAUAUCAGUUGUAGUUUUACCAUUUAAUAGGAUCCCAAUUAAAUUUCUACCUUUUUUUUUCUAUUCACACGUUCACACAUUAAUUGUAUCUAUAAUUACCAUUUAAUAGUAUCUCAAUUAAAUGACCAACUUCAUUGUCCAAUUUACAAUUUCGCGUAGCAGUAUCUCAAAUAAAAUUGAAGUAAUAUUUUAGUAAAAUAACUUUCACCAAAAGUUUUCACACUUAUAAUAUAAUAUGAUAUUGAGGGGCAUCCUAACGUACAGUAUGUAAUAAGUCUUUUAUCUCCUUUUUUUUGCGUUUUUCCUUCACAAAUUCCUUCUUUAUUUUCUUUCUCAUAAAUUUUAAUUUUAUUCCAUAUGAGAAUUUUCAAUUAUGCAUCAUCCAAAGGUAACAAUUUACUCUAUUCUAUAUUACAGGUUGAGUAUUGGAUAUGCUUAACCUUUGUUUGAGGAACCCUUAUAUGUUUUCGACGGAUCAUCGAGGCUGAUACCGGACAAUUUGAAGCAAAUUAUAGAGUGUCACAUCUCCUUUUUACGGGGAAAGGAGGUUUUUCAAUUUAAGUGACAUUAUUUGAAAUAUGAUUUUAUUUUAUUUUAAGAGUCGUCACUCGAAAUUAUUUAUUUAUGGUGUUCCGAGCCACCAUUUAUGUUAAAUCCCAGAUCAAGAAAAAUUGACUCCUUUUAAGUCCGCGAAACUAGAAGACCGGGUGGGGAAUUAUGUUAACCCGGGAGAAGGUGUUAGGCACUCUCAGAUUCCGUGAUUUUAGCACGGUCGCUUUUAAUCAUACCUG
rnacentral:lncRNA from 1 species